GUUUCAGGGCGAGGUGAAAUUCCUCACCGGCGGUAUAGUCCGCGAGCGAAGAAGAUAAGAUUUUUUUCGCUGAUCAGGUGAAAUUCCUGAACCGACGGUAUAGUCCGGAUGGGAGAAA
rnacentral:ncRNA from 1 species